rnacentral:rRNA from 1 species
GAUGAACGCUGGCGGCGUGCCUAAUACAUGCAAGUCGAGCGAACAGACGAGGAGCUUGCUCCUCUGACGUUAGCGGCGGACGGGUGAGUAACACGUGGAUAACCUACCUAUAAGACUGGGAUAACUUCGGGAAACCGGAGCUAAUACCGGAUAACAUAUUGAACCGCAUGGUUCAACAGUGAAAGACGGUCUUGCUGUCACUUAUAGAUGGAUCCGCGCCGCAUUAGCUAGUUGGUAAGGUAACGGCUUACCAAGGCAACGAUGCGUAGCCGACCUGAGAGGGUGAUCGGCCACACUGGAACUGAGACACGGUCCAGACUCCUACGGGAGGCAGCAGUAGGGAAUCUUCCGCAAAGGGCGAAAGCCUGACGGAGCAACGCCGCGUGAGUGAAGAAGGUCUUCGGAUCGUAAAACUCUGUUAUUAGGGAAGAACAAAUGUGUAAGUAACUAUGCACGUCUUGACGGUACCUAAUCAGAAAGCCACGGCUAACUACGUG